rnacentral:rRNA from 1 species
GAGUUUGAUCAUGGCUCAGAUUGAACGCUGGCGGAAUGCUUUACACAUGCAAGUCGAGCGGCAGCGCGGGGCAACCUGGCGGCGAGCGGCGAACGGGUGAGUAAUGCAUCGGAACAUGUCCAUGUCGUGGGGGAUAGCCCGGCGAAAGCCGGAUUAAUACCGCAUACGCCCGAGAGGGGAAAGCCGGGGACCGCAAGGCCUGGCGCGAUUGGGUUGGCCGAUGUCCGAUUAGCUAGUUGGCGGGGUAAGAGCCCACCAAGGCGAUGAUCGGUAGCUGGUCUGAGAGGAUGAUCAGCCACACUGGGACUGAGACACGGCCCAGACUCCUACGGGAGGCAGCAGUGGGGAAUUUUGGACAAUGGGGGCAACCCUGAUCCAGCCAUUCCGCGUGAGUGAAGAAGGCC